rnacentral:rRNA from 1 species
AUAUCAGUCAUGCAUAGCAUAUCAAUAAGCGGAGGAAAAGAAACUAACAAGGAUUCCCUUAGUAACGGCGAGUGAAGCGGGAAGAGCUCAAAUUUGAAAUCUUCAAGGUUUUACCUUGACGAAUUGUAGUUUAAAGAAGUGUUUUCUGUUGAAGUUUUGGUAAAAGUUCUUUGGAAUAGGACAUCAUAGAGGGUGAGAAUCCCGUAUUUGACCAUUACUUUCAGCUUUGUGAUACACUUUCAAAGAGUCGGAUUGUUUGGGAAUGCAGUCCAAAAUGGGUGGUGAAUUUCAUCUAAAGCUAAAUAUUGGCGAGAGACCGAUAGCGAACAAGUACCGUGAGGGAAAGAUGAAAAGAACUUUGAAAAGAGAGUUAAACAGUACGUGAAAUUGUCAAAAGGGAAGCGUUUGACACCAGUGUUGUUUUCUCGAAAAUCAAUUAAAAAGAGUUGGAUUUUGUGUUGUAUUGACUUUAUCAGCUUUCUUCACUCUUUUCCAGCUUUUUUUAAUGCACUUUUCGUUUAACAAGUCAACAUCAGUUUCUUUUGUUGUAAAAAGGUCAUUGGAAGGUGGCUUUCUCUUCGGAGAAAGUGUUUAUAGCCUUUGACUCAUGCAAUCGGAGAGACUGAGGUCUGCAGCGUAGAUCCUUCGGGGUUAGAUACAUUUGUGCUAAGUUAUAGCUUUUCAUAGACAACUUGUUGACUAUGUUUAGUCUUGUAGCUUACUCGCUUAUGCUAUUUUACCUACGCUUAGGAUGUUGAACUCUAUCACACACAG